ACUCAAAGGAAUUGACGGGGGCCCGCACAAGCAGCGGAGCGUGUGGUUUAAUUCGACGCAACGCGAAGCACCUCACCCAGACUUGACAUGCAGGUGCGUGUUGGGGAAACCCAGCAGCCUUCGAGGGGCCUGCACAGAUGCUGCAUGGCUGUCGUCAGCUCGUGUCGUGAGAUGUUGGGUUCAGUCCCGCAACGAGCGCAACCCUCGUCCGUAGUUACUUGUGUCUACGGAGACAGCCGCCCGCGAGGGCGGAGGAAGGCGGGGAUGACGUCAAGUCCGCAUGGCUCUUACGUCUGGGGCGACACACACGCUACAAUGGUCAGCACAGUGCGCGGCGAGCCGGUAACGGCAAGCUAAUCGCCAAAGCUGGUCUCAGUGCAGAUCGGGGGCUGCAACUCGCCCCCGUGAAGGCGGAGUUGCUAGUAACCGCGUAUCAGCCACGGCGCGGUGAAUACGUACCCGGGCCUUGUACACACCGCCCGU
rnacentral:rRNA from 1 species